AGCGAACGCUGGCGGCGUGCCUAACACAUGCAAGUCGAACGUGAACGGGGGCAACCCUUAGUAAAGUGGCGUACGGGUGAGUAAUACGUAGGUAAUCUACCUGACAAUCUGGAAUAACCGGCCGAAAGGCUGGCUAAUACUGGAUAGAGCGACGGAACCCGUAAUCGGGUUUUUCGGGAAAGGGAGGCAGCAAUGCCCUUCGUUGUCAGAUGAGCCUGCGUCCCAUCAGCUAGUUGGUAAGGUAAUGGCUUACCAAGGCUUUGACGGGUAGCUGGUCUGAGAGGAUGAUCAGCCACACUGGAACUGAAACACGGUCCAGACUCCUACGGGAGGCAGCAGUGGGGAAUCUUGCGCAAUGGACGAAAGUCUGACGCAGCCACGCCGCGUGAGUGAAGAAGGCCUUCGGGUUGUAAAGCUCUGUCGGGCGGGACGAAAAGCAAUAGGGUUAACAGCCCUAUUGCCUGACGGUACCGCCAAAGGAAGCACCGGCUAACUUCGUGCCAGCAGCCGCAGUAA
rnacentral:rRNA from 1 species